GACGAACGCUGGCGGCGUGCUUAACACAUGCAAGUCGAACGGGGAAGCGCCUUCCUUUUUGGUGGGUGUGGAUGAGUGGCGAACGGGUGAGUAACACGUGAGUAACCUGCCCCCUAUUUCUGGAUAACCGCAUGAAAGAGUGGCUAAUACGUGAUAUUCUGGGUCUUUCGCAUGAAGGGUCUGGGAAGGAUAUUGAUUCGGUGGGGGAUGGGCUCGCGGUCUAUCAGCUAGUUGGUGGGGUGAUGGCUUACAAAGGCGGUGACGGGUAGCCGGCCUGAGAGGGUGGACCGUCACAGAGGGGCUGCGCGACCGCGAGGACUCCGAGGGGCGGCAGCAGUGAGGAAUGGAGGACGAUGGGCGGAAGCCUGGUGCAGCGACGCCGCGUUGAUGAUGGAGGCCUUUGUGUAGGAAACCGCUUUUGCGAGUGAAGAGUGCUUUCCUCAUGUGUGGGUAGAUUGACGGUAGCUGGAUAAGAAGCGCCGGCUAACUACGUG
rnacentral:rRNA from 1 species